rfam:Triticum aestivum genome assembly, contig: Triticum_aestivum_CS42_TGACv1_scaffold_465852_5DS
GGAUGCGAUCAUAGCAGCACUAAAGCACCGGAUCCCAUCAGAACUCCGAAGUUAAGCGUGCUUGGGUAAGAGUAGUCCUAGGAUGGGUGACCUCGUGGGAAGUCCUCGUGUUGCAUUCC